CCCUUAGACGUUCUGGGCCGCACGCGCGCUACACUGACCAGUGCAACAAGCAUCCGUCCUUGGCCGACAGGCCCGGGCAAUCUUUGAACGCUGGUCGUGAUGGGGAUAGACUUUUGCAAUUUUUGGUCUUCAACGAGGAAUUCCUAGUAAACGCAAGUCAUCAGCUUGCAUUGAUUACGUCCCUGCCCUUUGUACACACCGCCCGUCGCACCUACCGAUUGAAUGGUCCGGUGAAAUCUUCGGAUCUGAGAGAUGUCUGAUUAAUUUCGGACGCCUUUUGGAAAAGUUGCUUAAACCUUACCAUUUAGAGGAAGGUGAAGUCGUAACA
rnacentral:rRNA from 1 species